GUAGUUCGGAUUGCAGUCUGCAACUCGACUGCAUGAAGUCGGAAUCGCUAGUAAUCGCGGAUCAGCAUGCCGCGGUGAAUACGUUCCCGGNCCUUGUACACACCGCCCGUCACACCAUGGGAGUGGAUUGUACCAGAAGCCGUUAGCCUAACCUUCGGGAGGGCGAUGACCACGGUAUGGUUCAUGACUGGGGUGAAGUNGUAACAAGGUAGCUGUAGGGGAACCUGCGGCUGGAUCACCUCCUUUAAAGAAAUGGGUCCUAGACCCCACACACGCCACUCGGUAAAGAAUCGGGCCUAUAGCUCAGCUGGCUAGAGCACACGACUGAUAAUCGUGAGGUCAGUGGUUCGAGUCCACUUGGGCCCACCAAAUGGGGCUGUAGCUCAGCUGGGAGAGCACCUGCUUUGCAAGCAGGGGGUCACCGGUUCGAUCCCGGUCAGCUCCACCAAAGGGAAGAGGCCCGCGCGCAGCGGGUCGGACGCUGGGGUGGAGAAGUAGGCGGCAGUAGAUGAAAAAGAGUAAAUAGAGAUUCAGAGAGUAGUAGCAGUGGUAGAUCAUUUGAAUCGAUCAUUGUAAGGAGUCCGUAGUAGUGAGUUUCUGAAUAAAGAAGCUGAGUACUACCGAUUCGCAGUAUGGAAGCGGUAUUGUUCUUUGACAGUUGAGGAAGGGAAGGCCAUGUUUGUCAUCUUGCCGAUGGCAGACCUCCAGGUGGAUGCUUGGGGAUAUAUGGUCAAGUGAAUAAGG
rnacentral:misc_RNA from 1 species